rnacentral:rRNA from 1 species
CCUACGGGAGGCUGCAGUAGGGAAUCUUUCAUAAUGGGCGAAAGCCUGAUGGAGCAACGCCGCGUGCAGGAUGAAGGCCUUCGGGUUGUAAACUGCUUUUAUAAGCGAGAAAUAUGAUGGUAACUUAUGAAUAAGGAUCGGCUAACUACGUGCCAGCAGCCGCGGUCAUACGUAGGAUCCGAGCAUUAUCCGGGGUGACUGGGUGUAAAGAGUUGCGUAGGUGGCAUAAUAAGUAGCUAGUGAAAUCUGGUGGCUCAACCAUUCAGACUAUUAGCUAAACUGUUAAGCUCGAGACCGUUAGGGGUAACUGGAAUUUCUAGUGUAGGAGUGAAAUCCGUAGAUAUUAGAAGGAACACCAAUAGCGUAGGCAGGUUGCUGGGACGGUUCUGACACUAAGGCACGAAAGCGUAGGGAGCAAACGGGAUUAGAUACCCCAGUAGUC